rnacentral:rRNA from 1 species
UACAGAGGGUGCGAGCGUUGUCCGGAAUCACUGGGCGUAAAGGGCGCGUAGGGGGCGCGACAAGUCAGUGGUGAAAGCUCGACGCUUAACGUCGAGUCGGCCACUGAUACUGUUGGGCUUGAGCACUGUAGAGGCUAAUGGAAUUCCGGGUGUAGCGGUGGAAUGCGUAGAGAUCCGGAAGAACACCGGUGGCGAAGGCGGCCGGCUGGGGGUGACCUGACGCUGAGGCGCGAAAGCGUGGGGAGCGAACCGG